GACGAACGCUGGCGGCGUGCUUAACGCAUGCAAGUCGAACGGAAAGGCCCUGCUUUUGUGGGGUGCUCGAGUGGCGAACGGGUGAGUAACACGUGAGUAACCUGCCCUUGACUUUGGGAUAACUUCAGGAAACUGGGGCUAAUACCGGAUAGGAGCUCCUGCUGCAUGGUGGGGGUUGGAAAGUUUCGGCGGUUGGGGAUGGACUCGCGGCUUAUCAGCUUGUUGGUGGGGUAGUGGCUUACCAAGGCUUUGACGGGUAGCCGGCCUGAGAGGGUGACCGGCCACAUUGGGACUGAGAUACGGCCCAGACUCCUGCGGGAGGCAGCAGUGGGGAAUAUUGCACAAUGGGCGGAAGCCUGAUGCAGCAACGCCGCGUGCGGGAUGACGGCCUUCGGGUUGUAAACCGCUUUCGCCUGUGACGAAGCGUGAGUGACGGUAAUGGGUAAAGAAGCACCGGCUAACUACGUG
rnacentral:rRNA from 1 species